UUUAUUGUUUAAUAACGUCCUGCGAAAUAUAUGCAGGAAAAAACCACAAAACUGACACUUUGAGAGGAUUUUAUUGAUCAUGAGGGAGUUAAACUUUUCAACCAAUUUCAUGAUUACCCGAUCAUUCUUGCUAGGAGAAUUGCGAAAUCAUCCCCAGGAACAUCGAAUAGAUUCAUUGGUUUGACGAGCAAAUUCAAUACAACAAUUGAAAUCAAUCCUCCAUAUCCACAGGCUGCUGAGUUAAGGACAUGGAUCAAAACAAUUGAAACAAAGAUACUUGCUUAUAAGAUGAAAAGUACAACUCCUAUGGGAUAUUGUGUUAAUUCCAUUUGAGGAUGACAUUAUAUUUGAGGCUAACAUCCAAGCACAACCUCCGGGACAAAUAUUUAAUAUUGAGGCUGAAUUGUGUCUUGCAAGUAAGGACCAACUCUUUAGUGUGUUAGCAUGCUCAAAUUGUAAGCAAUUAUUCACAAGAUAUAAUGUGCGAAGGGAAAUCUACUGCAUAAGUUGUCACCGAUCCACACAUCUUAUUCCUAGGUGUAAAUUUGAAGUUACUGUUAAGGACAACAACGGUUUUGCAACAGCUAUUGUUUCAGAUGAAAUUGCAGAGUAAAUGUUGCACCUCACUUUCGAAGAAAUUUAUGAAAUUUGCUUCGUCAAGCAAAAUGUGGAAGAUCAACUGAAUGGAAAGAUAUUCAACAUUCAAAUGAAAAAGCUAUUCACAAAAAAAUUGGAUGCAAUGCAAACAUUAUCCAUUUUGUCUUACCCGGAGAAAGAAGAUGUCAUUCAUGAACCAGUGGCAUCUACAAAAGUCAAUGUUACAAAAGAAAAAAAGCGCACAAUUGAGCAUGUUAAUUCAAGGGAUAAAGAAUAUCCAAGCAUCGCAAAUAAAUUUAAUCCUCCCAUGAAAAAAAAUUUUAAGUUCAAACACUUUUGCUAUGGUUGUCGAAGCAGUCAGUUUUUGCACUUUUUUGCUGUUGCCACUGAAUGCCAAAUUUUGCAAGCUUCUGAUGUUUCUAUGUGGAUGUCUUAUGUUCCUGUUCUUUGAUGGAAACUGAAAAUAUUUUCUCCUAUGAUAGCAGGUUAGAGUCAUUUUUUACAGGGAAAAGAUUGUGUGUGGGCUAUCAUUGCUACUGUCUACCAGAAGUUGAAUUCUUAAUGUCUCUCUAUUCGGCUUGAAACAUGAAGCUACAAACAUUGACCAAGAGUAAAUGCUUAAAUUUAGACAAAAGGACUAUAAUACUUAAGAUGUGAGUUGUUAGACGCUUACUAAAGAGCGACAAGCUGCGCUACUAAGGGUGUUGAAUUUAAGAAGUGUUCUGCAACAAGAAGUUACAUUCUUCAAUGAGGAAGUAAAUAUAUAGAAAGUUAUUGGGAAAAUGUCUGGUGACAUUCUUAUCACACAAGACGGUUAAGUGGGGAAGAUGAUGAGGUGUGUAGCAAUGUUUACAUGAGGAUUUUGUAUUGCAUUCAUCGAGGGGUGUCCGCGCCAGCGCAGGCCCAACGUAUGUUAGUUUUUUUUCUUCCAAUUUAUAUAAUACAAAUAAAAUUUGA